AUACAUGCAAGUCGAGCGAACCGACGAAGUGCUUGCACUUCUGACGUUAGCGGCGGACGGGUGAGUAACACGUAAGGAACCUACCGAUAAGCGGGGGACAACAUCCGGAAACGGGUGCUAAUACCGCAUAGGAAACACCACCUCAUGGUGGUGUUUGGAAAGACGGCUUUGCUGUCACUUAUCGAUGGCCUUGCGGUGCAUUAGCUCGUUGGUGGGGUAACGGCCUACCAAGGCAAUGAUGCAUAGCCGACCUGAGAGGGUAAUCGGCCACAUUGGGACUGAGACACGGCCCAAACUCCUACGGGAGGCAGCAGUAGGGAAUCUUCCGCAAUGGGCGCAAGCCUGACGGAGCAACGCCGCGUGAGUGAAGAAGGUUUUCGGAUCGUAAAGCUCUGUUGUAAGAGAAGAACAAAUUGGAGAGUAACUGCUCCAGUCUUGACGGUAUCUUACCAGAAAGCCACGGCUAACUACGUGCCAGCAGCC
rnacentral:rRNA from 1 species